AAAACGACUCUCGGUAACGGAUUUCUCGGCUCUCGCAUUGAUGAAGAACGUAGCGAAAUGCGAUACUUGGUGUGAAUUGCAGAAUCUCUUGAACCAUCGAGUUUUUGAACGCAAGUUGCGCCCGAAGCCAUUAGGCUGAGAGCAUGCCUACCUAGGUAUCUCAC
rnacentral:rRNA from 1 species